GGUUGCGAUCAUACCAGCACUAAUGCACCGGAUUCCAUCAGAACCCCGCAGUUAAGCAUGCUUGGGCGAGAGUAGUACUAGGAUGGGUGACCCCCUGGGAAGUCCUCGUGUUGCAACCC
rnacentral:rRNA from 1 species